GAGUGGCGAACGGGUGAGUAUACAUCGGAACGUGCCCUGUAGUGGGGGAUAACUAGUCGAAAGAUUAGCUAAUACCGCAUACUACCUGAGGGUGAAAGUGGGGGACCGCAAGGCCUCAUGCUAUAGGAGCGGCCGAUGUCUGAUUAGCUAGUUGGUGAGGUAAAGGCUCACCAAGGCGACGAUCAGUAGCUGGUCUGAGAGGACGAUCAGCCACACUGGGACUGAGACACGGCCCAGACUCCUACGGGAGGCAGCAGUGGGGAAUUUUGGACAAUGGGCGAAAGCCUGAUCCAGCAAUGCCGCGUGUGUGAAGAAGGCCUUCGGGUUGUAAAGCACUUUUGUCCGGAAAGAAAUGGCUCUGGUUAAUACCUGGGGUCGAUGACGGUACCGGAAGAAUAAGGACCGGCUAACUACGUGCCAGCAGCCGCGGUAAUACGUAGGGUCCAAGCGUUAAUCGGAAUUACUGGGCGUAAAGCGUGCGCAGGCGGUUGUGCAAGACCGAUGUGAAAUCCCCGAGCUUAACUUGGGAAUUGCAUUGGUGACUGCACGGCUAGAGUGUGUCAGAGGGGGGUAGAAUUCCACGUGUAGCAGUGAAAUGCGUAGAGAUGUGGAGGAAUACCGAUGGCGAAGGCAGCCCCCUGGGAUAACACUGACGCUCAUGCACGAAAGCGU
rnacentral:rRNA from 1 species